AAGCAGCACUCUGUGGCAGAUGAACAAACUGCUGAGCCCAAUUUGAGCUUUCUAGAGCAAUAAAAUCUAACUGAUGUCAUUGUCCUCUGCCCACGAGACAAGCCAAUACAUAGGUUCAAGCAAU
rnacentral:snoRNA from 1 species